rnacentral:rRNA from 1 species
AGUGAACGCUGGCGGUAGGCCUAACACAUGCAAGUCGAACGGCAGCACAGUAAGAGCUUGCUCUUACGGGUGGCGAGUGGCGGACGGGUGAGGAAUACAUCGGAAUCUACUUUUUCGUGGGGGAUAACGUAGGGAAACUUACGCUAAUACCGCAUACGACCUACGGGUGAAAGCAGGGGAUCUUCGGACCUUGCGCGAUUGAAUGAGCCGAUGGCGGAUUAGCUAGUUGGCGGGGUAAAGGGCCACCAAGGCGACGAUCCGUAGCUGGUCUGAGAGGAUGGUAAGCCACACUUGAACUUGAACACCGACCAGGCUCCUUAGGGAGGGCGCAGUGGGGAAUAUUGGACAAUGGGGGGAAACCUUGUCCAGCCAUCGCGCGUGGGUUGAGGAGGCUUUCGGGUUGGAAAGCCCUUUUGUUGGGAAAAAAAAGCAGCAGGUUGAUACCCCGCUGUUCUGACGGUACCCAAAGAAGAAGCACCGGCUAACUUCGUG